rnacentral:rRNA from 1 species
CCUACGGGCGGCAGCAGUGGGGAAUAUUGCACAAUGGGGGAAACCCUGAUGCAGCGACGCCGCGUGUGUGAAGACGGUCCUCUGGUUUGUAAACAACUGUCCCCAGGGGCGAAAAUUUCGGUACCUGAGGAGGAAGCUCCGGCUAAACACGCGCAAGCAGCCGCGGUAAUACGUGGGGAGCGAGCGUUGUCCGUAUUUACGGGGGGAAAGGGGAGCGGAGUGGGGGAUGAAAGUGGGGUGGAAAACCUACCGUCUAAACUGGUGGUCGAACUCGAAACUGCAGCUCUUGAGUGAAGUAGAGGGAGGUGGAAUUCCUAGUGUAGCGGUGAAAUGCGUAGAGAUUAGGAGGAACACCAGUGGCGAAGGCGGCCCGCUGGGC